rnacentral:lncRNA from 1 species
UAUGAUUUUGUAAUCUUUUCCACAGGCCUUCCUUCGUCAUCACUGAUUGGUGUCUGGGACUGAGUUAUCCCUCAUCUCAGUUCAGGGGCCAUUGUCUAUCGAAAAAAGACCUUUACCUUUUAUUAUUGCUUUAAAACCCGUGUCUCCGCAUCUGUUCUCCAGUUUUUUUAGAUGGAAGAUGUAAUCUCAAGAGCAUUCUUUCCAAAAAUUUGCCAAGCAAGGAGACUGAGGUAAUGUUCAGAAUAUAAUAUUUCUCUUCCUCU